GACGAACGCUGGCGGCGUGCUUAACACAUGCAAGUCGAACGGAAAGGCCCUGCUUGCAGGGUACUCGAGUGGCGAACGGGUGAGUAACACGUGGGUGAUCUGCCCUGCACUUCGGGAUAAGCCUGGGAAACUGGGUCUAUUACCGGAUAGGAGCCAUUUUUAGUGUGAUGGUUGGAAAGUUUUUUCGGUGUAGGAUGAGCUCGCGGCCUAUCAGCUUGUUGGUGGGGUAAUGGCCUACCAAGGCGGCGACGGGUAGCCGGCCUGAGAGGGUGGACGGCCACAUUGGGACUGAGAUACGGCCCAGACUCCUACGGGAGGCAGAAGUGGGGAAUAUUGCACAAUGGGCGCAAGCCUGAUGAAGCGACGCCGCGUGGGGGAGGACGGACUUCGGGUUGUAAACUCAUUUCGCUAGGGACGAAGCUUUUUGUGACGGUACCUAGAUAAGAAGCACCGGCUAACUACGUG
rnacentral:rRNA from 1 species